CGGCGGGAGGUGGCUGCGAGGGUGGGAGGUGUGUGCGCGCGUGUGCCGCGCCGUGGGGAGCGGCGGGUCGCGCCGCGGGCUGUCAGCUAGCUGCGCGCCGCCGCCCGAUGGCGCGAGGAGGCGCGCGGGCCAAGCCCCGUGAGGCCUCCCCCGGCCGCGGGUGAGCCCCUCGGCUUGCCGCCCGCUAGCAUGUCACCUCCAGCCGCCGCGGCAGACUUCGCCAGCAGUGCCCGCGUCCCCGCCUCCCGCAGCCGCAGCCGCUGCCGCUGCCUGGGGCAUCGGCCCCCAGACCCCCGCCCUUGAUCCACGCCCAGACCCUAGAGCCGGAGGACCAUGGCCGGCCAGGGGGACUGCUGCGUCAAGGUGGCCGUCAGGAUUCGGCCCCAGCUGUCAAAGGAGAAGAUUGAGGGCUGUCACAUCUGUACCUCUGUCACCCCCGGGGAGCCCCAGGUCCUUCUGGGGAAGGACAAGGCCUUCACCUAUGACUUUGUCUUCGACCUGGACACCUGGCAGGAACAGAUCUAUUCGACCUGUGUGAGCAAGCUCAUUGAGGGCUGCUUCGAGGGCUACAAUGCCACAGUGCUGGCCUAUGGGCAGACAGGGGCCGGGAAGACAUACACGAUGGGCACUGGCUUCGACACGGUGACAUCGGAGGAGGAGCAAGGCAUCAUUCCAAGGGCCAUAGCACACCUCUUUGGGGGCAUUGCCGAGCGCAAGCGGCGGGCGCAGGAGCAGGGUGUGGCCGGGCCUGAGUUCAAAGUCAGCGCUCAGUUCCUGGAGCUCUACAAUGAGGAGAUCCUUGACCUGUUUGACAGCACCCGUGACCCUGAUGCCCGCCACCGCAGGUCCAACAUCAAGAUUCACGAGGAUGGGAAUGGUGGCAUCUACACCACGGGUGUCACUUCCCGCCUCAUCAACUCCCAGGAAGAGCUGAUCCAGUGCCUAAAGCAGGGGGCCCUGUCCCGCACCACGGCCAGCACCCAGAUGAACGUGCAGAGCUCGCGCUCACACGCCAUCUUCACUAUCCAUGUGUGCCAGAUGCGCGUGUGCACCCAGCCGGACCCCGUGAACGAGGUGGUGACCGGGCUUCCAGAGGGCACCGCUCCCACCAGUGAGUAUGAGACGCUCACUGCUAAGUUUCACUUUGUGGACCUGGCUGGCUCAGAGCGGCUGAAACGGACGGGGGCCACCGGCGAGCGGGCCAAGGAGGGCAUCUCCAUCAACUGCGGGCUGCUGGCCUUGGGCAACGUGAUCAGCGCCUUGGGGGACCAGAGCAAGAAGGUGGUGCACGUGCCAUACAGGGACUCGAAGCUCACUCGGCUCCUCCAGGACUCGCUGGGGGGCAACAGCCAGACCAUCAUGAUUGCCUGUGUGAGCCCCUCAGACCGGGACUUCAUGGAGACGCUCAACACACUCAAGUAUGCCAACCGGGCCCGCAACAUCAAGAACAAGGUGGUGGUGAACCAGGACAAGACGAGCCAGCAGAUCAGCGCCCUGCGGGCCGAGAUUGCUCGCCUGCAGAUGGAGCUGAUGGAGUAUAAGGCGGGCAAGAGGGUGAUCGGGGAGGACGGUGCCGAGGGCUACAGUGACCUGUUCCGGGAGAACGCCAUGCUGCAGAAGGAGAAUGGGGCACUGCGUCUGCGAGUGAAGGCCAUGCAGGAGGCCAUCGAUGCCAUCAACAACCGUGUCACUCAUCUCAUGAGCCAGGAAGCCAAUCUGCUUCUGGCCAAGGCCGGUGAUGGCAAUGAGGCUAUUGGCGCCCUGAUCCAGAACUACAUCCGGGAAAUCGAGGAGCUGCGGACAAAGCUGCUGGAGAGCGAGGCCAUGAAUGAGUCCCUGCGCCGCAGCCUCUCCCGGGCCUCCGCUCGGAGCCCCUACUCCCUGGGCGCGUCUCCAGGCGCUCCCGCCUUCGGGGGCAGCCCGGCCAGCUCCAUGGAGGAUGCCUCAGAGGUGAUCCGCCGGGCCAAGCAGGACCUGGAACGGCUCAAGAAGAAGGAGGUCAGGCAGCGGAGAAAGAGCCCGGAGAAGGAGGCCUUCAAAAAGAGGGCAAAACUCCAGCAGGAAAACAGUGAGGAGACCGACGAGAAUGAGGCUGAGGAGGAGGAGGAAGAGCGAGACGAGAGUGGCUGUGAGGAAGAGGAAGGCCGUGAGGAUGAAGACGAGGACUCGGGCAGCGAGGAGAGCCUGGUGGACUCGGACUCGGACCCUGAUGAGAAGGAGGUGAACUUCCAGGCCGACCUGGCCGACCUGACGUGUGAGAUCGAGAUCAAGCAGAAGCUGAUCGAUGAGCUGGAGAACAGCCAGCGGCGGCUGCAGACCCUGAAGCACCAGUACGAGGAGAAGCUGAUUCUGCUUCAGAACAAGAUCCGGGACACACAGCUGGAACGCGACCGUGUGCUGCAAAACCUCAGCACCAUGGAGUGCUACACGGAGGAGAAGGCCAACAAGAUCAAGGCGGAUUACGAGAAGCGGCUGCGGGAGAUGAACCGGGACCUGCAGAAGCUCCAGGCCGCGCAGAAGGAGCACGCACGGCUGCUCAAGAACCAGUCCCGCUAUGAGAGGGAGCUGAAGAAGUUGCAGGCCGAGGUGGCCGAGAUGAAGAAGGCCAAGGUGGCCCUGAUGAAGCAAAUGCGUGAGGAGCAGCAGCGGCGGCGGCUGGUGGAGACUAAGAGGAACCGGGAGAUUGCUCAGCUCAAGAAGGAACAGCGGCGGCAGGAGUUUCAGAUCCGAGCGCUCGAGUCCCAGAAGCGGCAGCAGGAAAUUGUCCUGAGGAGGAAAACCCAGGAGGUUUCUGCACUGAGGCGCCUGGCCAAGCCCAUGUCCGAGCGGGUGGCGGGGCGUGCUGGACUGAAGCCUCCCAUGCUGGACUCGGGGGCUGAGGUGUCAGCCAGCACCACAUCAUCUGAGGCUGAAUCAGGGGCCCGCUCCGUCUCCAGCAUCGUGCGCCAGUGGAACCGCCAAAUCAACCACUUCUUGGGGGACCACCCUGCACCUGCUGUCAACGGUACCCGCCCUACUAGAAAGAAGUUCCAGAAGAAGGGGGCCAGCCAGAGCUUCAGUAAGGCUGCAAGGCUCAAGUGGCAGUCCCUGGAACGGAGGAUUAUUGACAUCGUCAUGCAGAGGAUGACCAUUGUCAACCUAGAGGCUGACAUGGAGCGGCUCAUCAAGAAAAGGGAGGAGCUGUUCCUCCUGCAGGAGGCGCUGCGGAGGAAGCGGGAACGGCUGCAGGCUGAGAGCCCGGAGGAGGAGAAGGGCCUGCAGGAGCUGGCCGAGGAGAUUGAGGUGCUGGCGGCCAACAUCGACUAUAUCAACGACAGCAUCACCGACUGCCAGGCCACCAUCGUGCAGCUGGAGGAGACCAAGGAGGAGCUGGACUCCACAGACACAUCCGUGGUCAUCAGCUCCUGUUCCCUGGCCGAAGCCCGCCUCCUGCUGGACAACUUCCUCAAGGCAUCCAUCGACAAGGGGCUGCAAGUGGCACAGAAGGAGGCCCAGAUCCGGCUGCUGGAGGGGCGGCUGAGGCAGACCGACAUAGCAGGCUCCUCUCAGAACCACCUGCUCCUGGACGCCCUGCGAGAGAAGGCGGAGGCGCACCCCGAGCUGCAGGCCCUCAUCAACAACGUGCAACAGGAGAACGGCUACGCCAGCACGGAUGAGGAGAUCUCCGAGUUCUCCGAGGGGAGCUUCUCCCAGUCAUUCACCAUGAAAGGUUCCACCAGUCAUGAUGAUUUCAAGUUCAAGGGUGAGCCCAAACUGUCUGCCCAAAUGAAGGCUGUGUCAGCUGAGUGCCUGGGUCCCCCGCUGGAUAGCUCCACCAAGAACAUCACCAAGUCCCUGGCCUCCCUUGUUGAGAUCAAAGAGGACGGAGUCGGCCUCUCCAUCCGAGACCCGUACUACCGAGACAAGGUCUCGCGCACCAUCAGCCUGCCCAGCAGAGGCAGUACUUUCCCCCGGCAGUCUCGAGGCACGGAGACAUCCCCUCUGACCCGAAGGAAGUCAUAUGACCGAGGGCAGCCCAUUAGGUCCACAGAUGUGGGAUUCACGCCCCCUUCGUCCCCUCCUACUCGGCCCCGCAACGACCGGAACGUCUUCUCUCGUCUCACCAGUAAUCAGAGCCAAGGCUCAGCACUGGACAAGUCUGAUGACAGCGACUCCUCUUUGUCGGAGGUCCUGAGGGGCGUCAUCACCCCCGUUGGAGGAGCCAAGGGUGCGAGGACGGCCCCACUGCAGUGUGUCUCCAUGGCCGAGGGCCACACCAGGCCCAUCCUCUGCCUAGACGCCACAGAUGAGCUACUGUUCACAGGAUCCAAAGACCGCAGCUGUAAGAUGUGGAACUUGGUCACAGGCCAGGAGAUCGCGGCCUUGAAGGGCCACCCCAACAACGUGGUGUCCCUCAAGUACUGUAGCCACUCCGGGCUUGUGUUCUCCGUGUCAGCCUCCUACAUCAAGGUGUGGGACAUCCGGGACUCGGCCAAGUGCAUCCGGACCCUCACGUCCUCUGGCCAGGUGACCUCUGGGGACGCCUGUGCCGCCGCAUCCACCCGUGCAAUCACCAGUGCUCAGGGAGAGCAUCAGAUCAACCAGAUCGCCCUCAGCCCCUCAGGCACCAUGCUGUAUGCCGCCUCGGGCAACGCCGUCCGCAUCUGGGAGCUGAGCAGGUUCCAGCCGGUUGGCAAGCUGACUGGCCACAUCGGCCCUGUGAUGUGCCUGACCGUCACCCAGACCGCCAGCCAGCACGACCUGGUGGUGACCGGCUCCAAGGACCACUACGUGAAGAUGUUCGAGUUGGGUGAGUGUGUGACGGGCACCAUUGGUCCCACGCACAACUUUGAACCCCCACACUAUGACGGUAUCGAGUGUCUUGCCAUCCAGGGAGAUGUCCUAUUCAGCGGCUCCCGGGACAAUGGCAUCAAGAAGUGGGACCUAGAGCAGCAGGAGCUCAUUCAGCAAAUCCCCAAUGCACACAAGGACUGGGUGUGUGCCCUGGCCUUUGUCCCGGGCCGCCCCAUGCUACUGAGCGCCUGCCGCGCGGGCGUCAUCAAGGUCUGGAACGUGGACAACUUCACACCCAUUGGUGAGAUCAGGGGCCACGACAGCCCCAUCAAUGCCAUCUGCACCAACGCCAAGCACAUCUUCACUGCUUCCAGUGACUGCCGGGUAAAGGUGUGGAAUUACGUCCCCGGACUCACCCCCUGCCUUCCUCGCCGAGUCCUGGCCAUAAAGGGCCGAGCCACCACCCUGCCCUGACCCUCCCCUCCCGCCUCCUCUGUCACUCGCCCCUCUUUCCUCUUCCCUCUCUUUCUCCACUUCGGUCUGAGCUGCUUCUCAACGCGACCUGACGGUGAAGUUCUGGAGCGUGCGGCGGUUACCCCGCGGGCCACACUAGGAGCGCGCAGCUGAGCUCACCCCGGCUGCUUUUCCGAGGACGGCUCCCAGACCCUCGGCCCCCCACCCCCACCCCGGCAGCCUGGACAGCACAGAAGGGAAGCUGUGGUCUGACGGGGCCAACUGCCCUGGGGACAGAGGGUGUGGGCCUCGGGUAUGGCCCCUCUUCCUGCUCUCCUGCCUCUCCCUUGACCUUCCUACAGGAUACUAUUCCCCUUGCCUCUUCGGGGAGAGAGAGAGGCUGAGGAGGAAUUUAAGCUGUGAAGCCAAAGGGCAUUUUCCUGUCUCAUCUCUCUCCCUGCAGCCCCUCGGGCUCCCCUUGCCCUCCCUCUGGCCACAUUCUCUCCUGCUGAGCUGGCCGAGCCCUUCCUUAACCUCUGGCCCAGUCAUGGGUAUCUGUAGGGGGAGGCGAAGCAGCCCCAGCCCCUGCCGUGCCCCCUGAUGAACAGGCCUCCCCUUCUGUCCCCUAAUCCAGCCUCUGGAGCCACUGCACCUGCCUCUGAGCCCAAAAUGAUAGUCCUCAGGUAACCAUGGAAACCAGGUGUUGGCAGCUGGUCCCUGCAGCUGACCCUUAGCCCCUUGGCCACCAACAGCUAUUUCCUGUUGUUGACCCCAGCCAUCCCUUGGGGUCCCUUUCCAAUGGGGCCAAGGUAGAGCUGCUAGAAAAAUUCCUCUGGGGAGAUGGUCAGAAAUACUUCCGCUAUUUAUUUUAUUUUAUUUUAUUUUUUUGCGGUUGCCUCCUGGAAACUGACUUGAAGUUUCUCCCCCAAAUGUUCUUUUCCUCAGCACUCGGGGGCCAGGAAUCCAAAGGGAAUCCGCCCGACCAGCCCUCCAGGGCCACCUCCUCUGUUCGCUGUGCAGCUCGGGCCCAUUCCAGACUUUACCCCCAGGGACCAUUCUAGUGCACCCCUGACCUCUAGGCCGCCUGACGCUUCAGUGCCUUCCUCCAUCCCGGGGCCUGGCCCCCAUGCUGGGCAGCCUUACACCAGCCAUGCCCGCGGCACCACAUGUGUCUUUGCACUAGCGGGGUCCCGUGCCCGCUGCCCCCAGAAGGCAGGGGAGCUCCACCCCACAGCCCAGGGCCAGGGGCCCCCCUUCCCAGAGUCCUGUGUGGGCCACGUAGGAAGCAGCUCAGAGGAUCGUGUCUACCAGGGGGUGGCUUGGAUGGUGAGGAUGGCCCAGCCCCGUCCCCAGCUCACCUGUGUUUUCACCCCGACAGGGACGGGAGUCCUUCUGGACUCUUUCUCUCUGGUUAUUCAGGAGACACGUUUUCAAGCCUUAAAACUGGCAUGGGGCAAAAGACCCUCCUGUUUUAGAUUAGCAGCGGAAGAAGAAAUUCAUUGAGUUCCUUUUUGCCUUGGGGCUGUGGGCUCACGGCUCUGGGGACGUGGUUAAAUACGUGUUCCAGCGCCCCCUGUUGGGACAAUUCUGAAUUUACAGGACCGGGCCUUGGGAGGCGUCCCAAGACAUCCCUCCGCCCUAACCUGUCCACAGUGGUUUCUCCAGUGCUUAACGGGUCCUGUGCUUCCUCUCCUCGGUCUGGGAGUCAGGAGCCCCGACUCUCUUUGGAGAUAAUGCGGUGACUAUUAGACCUUCCAGAGGUGGCUCUGUGUUUGACCUCUGUGACCCUGCGUAUUUGGCCAGGUGAUCAGAGCCCCCUCUGUGCAGCCCUGGUGGGGCACACAGGGCAGAGGAGGCCGUCCUAGCAGCAAAAGGGAAAAACCCCUGUGGGGCCUGAAUCCCCAGCCCUGCUUCCCCGCUGUCCUGGGAGGUCCCUGCCUGCCCCAGUGGUGGAGUCUGGGUAAGCUCGUGUGUGCAAGAAGCGCCCACCCCGGAGCCUGUCCUCCUGGAGCCUGCACCCCGGAAGUCCCUCCUCCUCCAGCCAGCGCAGGGGCCCUGGCUGCUCCCUCGGCCACGUGGAAGCAGGCGCUUCUUCCCUUCCCAUCCUUCUCCCCACCUGAUCGGAAAGCUUCAACCUUGCAACCUGUAAGAAAGACUCCAUCUGCAUGACUGUUUACACACCGUAGAAACACAAAAGACUGUGCUGCCCCCACGGGCUGGGGCGGCCCCAGCCCAGAACGGUACUGUAGCUGCAAAGGCCCGUUCUUGCGCGAGACAUGACCUUAGGGCCUGCGAGAGGUGCUCAGCAGCAUUGCCUACUUCCUGCUGUUUCUGUUGGGUCAGCUACCUCAUGGCAGGCCGGCUCUGCUGUCCUGGCGACUAUCAUUGACUCUAAACUUGAAGUCCCUCGGGAGCCCUGAGUCCUUCUGAAAUCUGUGCUCCAAGAGCUCAGAGUCUCUGUCUAUUCCUCCAGGGAUGUCCAAGGUACAUAGUCAGGGGGCAGGCCCCCAGCGUUCUAAAGGUUGGAAGCACAAAAUGGUUGUGGUUUGAGCACAAAUAGCAGGGCUGGUGGUGGGUGGCCUGGGCAGACCUGGGACCAGGGGGCUCACCCAGCUUGGUUCUGUCUGCAGUUAUACUGAGUAUGUCUGCAUCUGCGUGGGCAUUUCCUCGCUCAGCCCAGGGCUCAGCCCAGGGCUUGUCCUGCUUCUGGGGGGCGGCUCGUCCUACUCCUUACUUUGCCCAUCUGCAGACCUGAGUCGGGGCCAAUACCAGCCCAGCCACAGCAGAAGGCUCAGGAGUUAGCUCCCUCUCUCUUGACCCCACACCCCAAGUCUUUAAAUGCCUGAGCCCACACUGGGUCCCAGCCCUCUUGAGCCUAAGGAGCCCAGAGCCACAUUCCCUGUCCCCGGGGCUGGGCCCCCCUUGAAUGCUUUUGAAGCUGACUGUCUUUGGGCCCUCUGGGCACAGUCCUGGAAUUCUAAGUAUUAAUCAGUUCAGUGUUUGCUGUCACUUGAGUAGCCGAUCCCUCCAUGACAGCCACAGUUCUCCAAGGUAGCAUGUGGAGUUGCCUUUGGAGAUUGCCAAGGAAAGGCACACCCAAGCCUUUGAGGUGGUCAGGGUACCCCAGUGGGUCUGGGAAGGGCCAUCUGCGGAUCUGGGAGUGGUUUGCCUACCCCCCUCCCACCACUACAGCUCCAGCCCUCACUUGUCCUGCCCUGGUCCUGCCCUGCUGCCCGCCUGGGGCGGUGUCACCUGGGCAGAGGGCAAGCUAAAGCACAAAGUCAUUGUAGGGAAGACCGUGGCGGGGACUUUCUCACGCCACCCACUGUAGUGGUGACGUGGGCAGACUGUGGCUCUGGAGUUAGAAGUGGCCCGCUCUCUCCCCUCACAUACACCAGCCCAGCUCCCGGGGGCAUCUUCUGAUGCAAUCUGGGUGGGUGUGGGUGCAGCCCCCAGCGUGUCCAGCCCCAGCCUGAGCCCAGCAUCUUCACCAUCAUGUGGGGGGCGGGCAGGGCCUGCCCUGCGAAGGGGGCAAUUUCUCCCUGCGCCCCUGGGGCCUGAACGUGUGGCAUCUGUCUGUUUGCCAUUCCAAACAGGAAACUGCUUCCCGCUCUCUUAGCUUAGCCCAUUGUCCUGGCCCAGCCUCAGGAGCUGGGGCCUGGCCAGUGGCCCCACAGGCCUCCAUGGGCCUGGCCCUACUUUCCUGGCUCCCAGGAUCCCUCACUGCCCUCUUAGGAGCAAGGACAGAAUCGACAAGGAAAAUUCCGUUUUCUAGGGCAUCUUCGUUCUAGUCCCCACACCCUGCCCUCCCCCAGCACUCCAGCGAGCCCCCAACUUUUCUCGUACCCAGUCCAGUUUUUUGAACCCUUGUCCCGAGGGCUUUGCAGGGAAGUGGGAACUACUCCAAGAAGAGCCAAGGGUCAGAGAAGACCCCUGAAGUGAAGGGCCCCGCCCUGCUUACCAGCUCUUUUCUAGGGAUCACCCCCUGCCCAGGCUGCAGGGUCUUGUUUGGCUUAUGCCCUCCUCGCUAUGCGGCUAUAGCACAAGAUGUAAAUAUGUUUUGUACCUCUGCCGAUGACUGUACAUAGUGUAUGAAAGUUAUUUAAGCCCUCAUGCUGUACAUUUCUGUUCCUAGACUGGACGUGUGUGUUCUAAGAAGUUGUCAUAAAUAAAACCCGAAUGACCAUUA